rnacentral:siRNA from 1 species
UGCAGCUGCUGCCUUCUCAGCUCU